rnacentral:rRNA from 1 species
AUAUCAAUAAGCGGAGGAAAAGAAACCAACAGGGAUUGCCCCAGUAACGGCGAGUGAAGCGGCAACAGCUCAAAUUUGAAAUCUGGCCCCUCCGGGUCCGAGUUGUAAUUUGUAGAGGAUGCUUUUGGCAAGGCGCCGCCCGAGUUCCCUGGAACGGGACGCCACAGAGGGUGAGAGCCCCGUCUGGCUGGCCGCCGAGCCUCUGUAAAGCUCCUUCGACGAGUCGAGUAGUUUGGGAAUGCUGCUCAAAAUGGGAGGUAUAUGUCUUCUAAAGCUAAAUAUUGGCCAGAGACCGAUAGCGCACAAGUAGAGUGAUCGAAAGAUGAAAAGCACCUUGAAAAGAGGGUUAAAUAGUACGUGAAAUUGUUGAAAGGGAAGCGCUUGUGACCAGACUUGGGCGCGGCGAAUCAUCCGGGGUUCUCCCCGGUGCACUUCGCCGCGUCCAGGCCAGCAUCAGUUCGCCGCGGGGGAAAAAGGCUUCGGGAACGUGGCUCCCUCGGGAGUGUUAUAGCCCGUUGCGUAAUACCCUGCGGUGGACUGAGGACCGCGCAUCUGCAAGGAUGCUGGCGUAAUGGUCACCAGCGA